rnacentral:rRNA from 1 species
AGUUUGGACAAUGGGGGAAACCACGAUCAAGCCAUCCCGCGUGUUCGAUGAAGGCGUUAGGGUUGAAAAGCACUUUUGUCAGGGAAGAAAUCGUAAAGGCUAAUACCCUGUGCGGAUGCCGGUACAUGAAAAAUAAGAACAGCCUAACUAAGUGCCAGCAGCCGCGGUAAUAAGGAGGGUGCAAGGGUUAAGGGGAAUUAAUGGGGGUAAAGGGUGCGACGGCCGUUUAGCAAGAUAGGUGUGAAAACCCCGGGCUUAACCUUGGAAAUGCUCUUUUAACUGGUAAGCUAGAGUAUGGCAGAGGGGAGUAGAAUUCCACGUGUAGCAGUGAAAUGCGUAGAGAUGUGGAGGAAUACCGAUGGCGAAGGCAGCCCCCUGGGAUAAUACUGACGCUCAUGCACGAAAGCGUGGGGAGCAAACA